UACGGGGAGGCAGCAGUCGGGGAAUAUUGCACAAUGGGGGAAACCCUGAUGCAGCCAUGCCGCGUGUGUGAAGAAGGCCUUCGGGUUGUAAAGCACUUUCAGUAGGGAGGAAGGUAGUGUAGUUAACACCUGCAUUAUUUGACGUUACCUACAGAAGAAGCACCGGCUAACUCCGUGCCAGCAGCCGCGGUAAUACGGAGGGUGCGAGCGUUAAUCGGAAUUACUGGGCGUAAAGCGCAUGCAGGCGGCCUGUUAAGUCAGAUGUGAAAGCCCGGGGCUUAACCUCGGAAUUGCAUUUGAAACUGGCAGGCUAGAGUCUUGUAGAGGGGGGUAGGAAUUUCAGGUGUAGCGGUGAAAUGCGUAGAGAUCUGAAGGAAUACCAGUGGCGAAGGCGGCCCCCUGGACAAAGACUGACGCUCAGAUGCGAAAGCGUGGGGAGCAAACAGGAUUAGAUACCCUGGUAG
rnacentral:rRNA from 1 species